AAACAAACAAAAAACUAUGAACAAAUUCCUGUGCACACUGCACAUAUCUUAUUUUGAAGUAAAAAAACAAAACGGGAACAAAUACAAUAUUUGUAUUUGCAUGUGGCCCGGCUGACUGUAUGCAUUGCUCUAUGUCAUAUACUAGAUCAACGCAUACAGGGAGCUUGAAUGUCCAUGGAUUUCCGUAUCCAACGGGGUCCUGGAACCAGUCCUCUGGAUACUGAGGGACAACCUAAGUUCUGGGAAAAUCAAGUUUGACUUAUGGGGGGGUGGGGCCCCUAAGACCCCUGUUAUUCAAGGUCAACUGUACUCAACAUGGGUGCAUCUCACAGGUAAUAUGUGGAGUGAAAGCCAGAAACAGUACUUACUAUAUAGUUCUAUUUACAUGAAGGCCUGGGACAGGAUAGAGCAGUGGUUCUCAACCUUCUGGCCCUUUAAAUACAGUUCCUCAUGUUGUGGUGACCCCCAACCAUAAAAUUAUUUUCGUUGCUACUUCAUAACUGUCAUGUUGCUACUUCAUAACUGUCAUGUUGCUACUGUUAUGAAUCGUCAUGUAAAUAUCUGAUCUGCAGGAUGGUCUUAGGCGACCCCCGUGAAAGGGUCGUUCGACCACCAAAGGGGUCGCGACCCACAGGUUGAGAACCGCUGGGAUAGAGGCACAGCGGUGGUGGUCUUUCGGGUGCUCGGGGACCGGGAGGGGGCGCAAGGGAACCUUCUGUGGUACAGCCGGUGUGACGUGUCUUGAUAUGGGUGAUGCUCACACAGAUGGGAACGUUUGGAAAAAUCAGUGAACCCGUGCACUUACGUGGUGUGCAUGUCUCCUGUGCAGAUUAUCUUCCGGUUACAAAUGUUGUGCAUCUCAUAGGAAGAAAUUCCUUGUCGCUGUGAUCACUGACGUAAGAAGGCGGGUGUCCCUUGAUAUCCGAACGCUCACUGCAAAUAGUCCCAAUAACGAUUUGCUCUUUUAACCCCAAAUUUGUUAUUUAAAUAAAAAACCCCUGCUGUGCAGCUAGUAGCCCACUGUACACCGUGUCUCUAGACACAAGCGGCGGACCCUUCCCCACAUGCCAGGCGCCUCUAUAAAAAUAUUUUGCCUAAGUGGCAGCCCUGACCAACUUUUAAAUCAUUUUUCGGGAGAAUUUUCAAGAACACCCGAAUUGUGAGUAAUAUAUUUAUUUUUAUGAUAUUCAUUGCAAAUUGAUUUUUUU